rnacentral:rRNA from 1 species
UGCAUAUCCAAUAAGCGGAGGAAAAGAAACCAACCGGGAUUGCCUUAGUAACGGCGAGUGAAGCGGCAAAAGCUCAAAUUUGAAAUCUGGUACCUUCGGUGCCCGAGUUGUAAUUUGGAGAGGGCAACUUUGGGGCCGUUCCUUGUCUAUGUUCCUUGGAACAGGACGUCAUAGAGGGUGAGAAUCCCGUGUGGCGAGGAGUGCGGUUCUUUGUAAAGUGCCUUCGAAGAGUCGAGUUGUUUGGGAAUGCAGCUCUAAGUGGGUGGUAAAUUCCAUCUAAAGCUAAAUAUUGGCGAGAGACCGAUAGCGAACAAGUACAGUGAUGGAAAGAUGAAAAGAACUUUGAAAAGAGAGUGAAAAAGUACGUGAAAUUGUUGAAAGGGAAGGGCAUUUGAUCAGACAUGGUGUUUUGUGCCCUCUGCUCCUUGUGGGUAGGGGAAUCUCGCAUUUCACUGGGCCAGCAUCAGUUUUGGUGGCAGGAUAAAUCCAUAGGAAUGUAGCUUGCCUCGGUAAGUAUUAUAGCCUGUGGGAAUACUGCCAGCUGGGACUGAGGACUGCGACGUAAGUCAAGGAUGCUGGCAUAAUGGUUAUAUGCCUCCCGUCUUGAA